UUCCCUCCUUUCUCUCUCUUCUUAUGACUUUCUCUCUCUACCUUCUAAUUCUCUAAACGACGAUUUUGUUCUUCGAUUUUGCCAAUCUAUUUCUUUGAUUUUGCUCAUCUAUUCUGACGAAUUCUUCAAUUUCGUUCGUCAUGUUGUUGAAUUUGGUGUGAUUUGAUCAUUUCUGCAGAGGCUAGACAAAAAAGAACUAAGUCUAUUCUGUACUCUGAGUUGGGCAUCUUGGUUCUGCAGGAAUAUGAGAGUGCAUCAGCCAUCAAGAAUCGGUGUCUGACCCCUGCAUUGUGGCUGAGUGUAGCUAUCUUGCCAAGGAUGCUGCAGCUGCUGCCCUACCAAGGUUGCUGCAGCUGCUACCCUGCCAUGGCUUGCUGCUUCUGCUGCUAUGCUACUUCUGGUCUUCCACCUGCUGCUGUAAAUGUUACAUGCGUUUCUGUGAAUAAACUAUGUAGCCUUGUAUAGUCGUAUUAUAUUUUUGGAUGAAUUUGUAAUAUUACAGCUAAGUGUUAAUAUAAAUAUCCAAGUUUAUAUAUAUAUA